rnacentral:rRNA from 1 species
UACGAAGGGGCUAGCGUUGCUCGGAAUCACUGGGCGUAAAGCGCACGUAGGCGGAUUGUUAAGUCAGGGGUGAAAUCCUGGAGCUCAACUCCAGAACUGCCCUUGAUACUGACGGUCUCGAGUCCGGGAGAGGUGAGUGGAACUGCGAGUGUAGAGGUGAAAUGCGUAGAUAUCGGGAGGAACACCAGUGGCGAAGGCGACUUCCUGGCCUGUUCGUUGACGCUGAGGCGCGAAAGCUAGGGAGCAACGGG